rnacentral:SRP_RNA from 2 species
GUUGAGAGUCCGGCGGGCGAAGCUGUCGCCAACCCGGUCAGGUCGGGAACGAAGCAGCCGUAACGAAUUGGCUUCGGGUCGCUCGGGCUCUCACCUGU